UCCUUAACUGCCUCCCCAUGAUUCCUGAGGGCUGUGUGGAUCACUCCCUCUACUCCAUACUCCACAAAGACACGCUUGUUCUCUGGCAGUCGAGAUACCAUGUUUCGUAUCGCCAUGCAGCCCAGCUUCUGUAUGUGUCAACCUGGCCAGCCCCAUCCUGAACUAGCUGCUUAGCAUUGGCUGGGACACGCAGGGCCAGCAUAGAGACAGCCCCACAAGCCUCUUCACAUACAGAGCACUCUGUCUAAGAAAUUACACAGGACGGAGACACAUCAGGGGGAGUCUCUACAUAUUACAGGAGCAGUCUGCUGGCAUAACAUUGACUACAGGAGUACCUUAUUGCAUCAAAAGAAAGAUCUGUGUUACAGGGUGUGUACCAGGCCACUUCCCACCCUCCUUUCAGGGGACAGGACAGAGACAUAUCAGGGCGUCUCUAUGUAUUAUAGGAGCAGUCUGCUGGUAUAACACUGGCUACAGGAGUACCUUGUUGCAUCAAAAGGAAGGUGUUCUCCCCAUGAAUACAUCCUACAUGGUGACAUAUCUUGACAUCUCAUGGUGCCCUGUUCAUCUAGCAAUCCACAUCUGAAACUUGUUUCAAAGACUGAAGAGGAUGGCCAUGAUAAGAUUCUUCAGGGUAGCAGCCUCAACAGAAGAUAACAGGGAUAUAGGCUGUGGUUAUAUUAAUAACCUCCAAUGCUCCAUGGAUAAUUGGGUUCAGACAUCAGUAUCCCUAAACUCUCACCUAUUAUCUUACACCAAACGAUUUCUUUAGCAUCAACAAUAUGCCUCAGAUGUGAUAUACAUCAUGGGAACACAACUGCAAAUAUAACCUGCCAAACCUUAAUGCCUGACACCACAGAUUAUCUUCAUAGGAACAUGACCAGUUGACUUAUGUGCUUGUGUGCAAACAAAAUUCUUGAACAAGUUUAAAGAUGAAAUUUCAUUUCACCCCAUGACACAUUUAGAGUUUGUACUCUGCAAUAUCAAUGACAUGAGAGAAGGGGAAAGGUGAGUUCUCAAGUAUACAGUCAGCACCAAAAGAGGGACAAAAUUCUCAGCUGGUGUCAGCAUCUGUGCAUCAUUCAGCUAGUUUCAUAUAGUUGUAUGAGAGCAUGGUGCACUUAUAAUAUCUGACCUGGCAAGUCAAUACACUCAAUGUGACACAUUAACAGUUUUAGCAUAGGUCUGACAGUUGAGUUACAGUAUGUUUUUUGUGUGUUCAUUCCCAAAAUGACUUCUGCAAGUUAUUGUUGUAUAUCUAUCCAUAUCACUUACCAAUGGCUACUAAACUGCCUAGUGCAGAUGACAAAAUAACAUCUGUAGUUGCCUUUUAGCUAAGGAAUAAAAAUAAAUAUUUAAGAAACUAUUAGUAUUGCAGGAAGGAAAAAGAGAACUGCAUACUGGUGGGUCAAGAGGUUCAAAGAUGGUGGCCACACUGUCUAUUCCACAGCAUACAAUAAUGUGAUACCUGGGUUAGAAAAGAAAGUUGUUCUGAAAAAUAGAAUGUAAUCUUCAACAAACAGCAAAAGAGCUGAAAGAAAAGAACCCCUAUGCUCUUGGUGGUAGGUCUGAAGUUUUAAUGACGUCACAAUCUGUCACAUCUCUGAACCUGUUUACGUACUACUACAGUUCUCUCUCUACCUACAGUAGUACUAAUUGUUUCUUAAACCUUUUAACUCCUCAGCACAAGGCAACCACAGACACUAUUUCAUCAAUGGCAAUAG